rnacentral:rRNA from 1 species
UACGGAGGGGGCUAGCGUUGUUCGGAAUUACUGGGCGUAAAGCGCACGUAGGCGGCUUUGUAAGUUAGAGGUGAAAGCCCAGGGCUCAACCCUGGAAUUGCCUUUAAGACUGCAUCGCUUGAACAUCGGAGAGGUAAGUGGAAUUCCGAGUGUAGAGGUGAAAUUCGUAGAUAUUCGCAAGAACACCAGUGGCGAAGGCGGCUCACUGGCUCGGUACUGACGCUGAGUGCGAAAGCGUGGGGAGCAAACAGGAUUAGAACUACCCGUG